rnacentral:rRNA from 1 species
GAGACGGGGCGAACCACGGUGAAAUGACGGAUCGUCGGCCCCGCGCCGGCGACUCGCCGAAUGAGUUUCUGACCUAUCAACUCGAGACGGCGGGGUAGAGGCCCGCCGCGGUAACGACGGGUAACGGGGAAUCAGGGUUCGAUUCCGGAGAGGGAGCCCGAGAAACGGCUACCACUUCCAAGGAAGGCAGCAGGCGCGCAACUUACCCUAAUCUCGAUUCGAGGAGGUAGUGACAAGAAAUACCGAUGCGGGACCCUACGGGUGCCGCGUUCGGAAUGAGUACGAUUCGAACCACCUAACGAGGAACGAUCGGAGGGCAAGUCUGGUGCCAGCAGCCGCGGUAAUUCCAGCUCCAAUAGCGUACGUUAAAGUUGCUGCAGUUAAAAAGCUCGUAGUUGAACGUUCGGGUUCCGCGGGACGGGGCCGCCCCGCGAGGGACGGCGCCGCCCCGGGGCU